UCCAAUUGGAAGCCAAACAUGCGACAAAAUUAAGAAGGGAAUUAUUAUUUCCUUCAUGCCAAGCGGUGGCCGACUCUAGUUUAAACAAUUGGAAGCCAAAUCAGCAUUGAAGAGUUGAAUUAAAACUCUACUAAGCUAAAGCUAUUUUCAUGCGACGGGUAAGGCUAAGGAAAAGGGGGAUAAGAUUGAUUUUAAUUUUUGAAUUGAUUGGAGGUUAUUAUCCCAUAAAUAGAGAUGAUAGCAGCUGAAGAAAAGGGGAGAAGAGAAAAAAAUUCAGAGAAAGAACAGCAGCAUAGGAAAGGCGUGAUUCAAG
rnacentral:lncRNA from 1 species